ACGAUCUGGGCACUGUCUCAGCCACGAGCUCGGUGAAAUUGUAGUAGCGGUGAAGAUGCCGCUUACCCGCAACGGGACGAAAAGACCCCAUGAACCUUUACUAUAGCUUCACAUUGGUAUUGGGUAAAUGAUGUGUAGGAUAGGCGGGAGACUUCGAAGCUGUGUCGCCAGGCAUGGUGGAGUCGUUGGUGAAAUACCGCCCUUUAUUUAUCUGAUGCCUAAUCCAUUAAUGGAGACAGUGUGUGGUGGGUAGUUUGA
rnacentral:rRNA from 1 species